ACUAAAAUUGUAAAAAGUCUCGCACUAAAAAUUUUGUGUUCAAUGGUUAAAACAUUUUUUAUAACAAAAUACAAAUAAUUAUAAAACCAUAUAAAUAGGAAGUUUCAUUUAAUAGAUUUUUAGAUUAAAAUAUAGAUAUAUUUUAAUAUCGUACAAUAAAACUAUAUCCCAUAUAAUAAUGCAUGAUAUUUUAAUUUCAAAAUUUUCAUUGAAAAGUAUUGAGAACUUAAUAAUUUAGUUUUGAAAUAUUCAUUGAAUUUUUUAGAAUACGACUAUAAAUUAUUAAAACUAUUAAAAUCUCACAUUAGUUUUUUUAGCAAUUGUUUAAAAAGAUACAAAUGAUCAUAGAACCAUAUGAAUCUGAACGUUAUUUAAUAGAUAAUCAUAUUAAAAUAUUAUAUAUAUAUAUAUAUUGAUAUCAUUUAAAUUGAACUAUAUACCAUAUAAAAUUGAUUGUUUGGAUUUAUUUACCAUAAAUGAUUGUAUAUAUAUAAACAUGGUUAUUUUGAUUUGUGUGCUCCCCCUACUUAAUUAUAUACAUAAUAGUUUUCGACUUUUAAUUAUUUUUAGAUAUAUUUAUUAUUUGAUUAUUUCAUAAUAUGUAAAACAUAAAAUAAAUAAUAAAAUAUAAAAAUAAGUUUUAUACAUAAGCAAUUAAGGUCCAAAUUAGCUGAAUGCCCAUAAUUAUGGAUAACCCAAAAAUGAGUAAUAUUUUAACACUGUGCGGACGAAAAUGCCCUCAUGCUUUGUCGAAAACAAGUAACUCUAGAUCUAUCAACUAGAUAUUUACAUAGAAGGUAACAAUCUACAUACCAACUAACAUAUCAGGUAACAAUUUCAGUAUCAUCUAACAAUCUAUGUACCAAACAAAUGUAUCGACUAACAAAUCAUAUAUCAGUUAAUGAAACUAUUAACAAUUAAUUAGUUAUCUAUUAAAUAGCUCCAAAUCUAUUUGUAACAGCUAACACUCUAUGUAUCGAUUAAGAAUCCAUUAAAAUCUAAAUAAUAGCAGAUAAAUAAUAAAAUACCUACUAACGUAUAUAUUAUCUAAAAGUUGAUUGUGAUUCGAAAUUGGAAACAUUGGAAUUGGGGUGAGAUAAUAAGAUUAUCAUUAUGAGUGUCAAAAGAAUCAGAAUAAAAGAAUAAAAAUUUAUGUUGAAUUAGAAAAUGAUUUGAAGAAUUUAUACGAGAGAUAAAGAGAUUAGAACACAUAAAAGAGAGAAGAAAGAGAUAUAGAGAUAAGGGUAUUAUAGUCAUAAAAAAUAUUUAAAAAAAUAAGGAUAUAUGCCAAAUUACAUGGGUUUCUAGGUGUAUUCAUGCCAAUUUCUCUAUACAUAAUGCUCAUUCUGCCAUAACGCGUGGAUCUUUAGAGCUCAAUAUGAGAUUUACUUUAAAAAAAAACGUUUAUAAGCAUCAAGCCCAACCAAAUAACCAUAUGGGUUAUGGUUCAAUAUAUAGUCCAAGCAGAUCAAAUUGGUUUCAAAAUCUAAAUUUUGUUAGCAUGUAAAUAAAUACAUUUUAAAGUAAACAUAUUUGUAAUUAGUAUAUAAAUAUAUAUAUAUCUAUAUAUAUGAAACACAAAAGCACUGAAAAUAGUAUUAAAUUAAGUAUAAACUUUGAAAUUACUUUGUGAUUUAACCUAUUUUAUUAAUUAAUGAAAUUUAUUAAAAUAUUAAAAUAAAAAAAUCAUUUAAUGAAAAACUAUUAAAAUUAUUAAUAAUUUAAUUCAUUAUAUUUUGUUGAUAUGAAACCAAAAACUUAUGAUUUUAAUAUUUUCAUCAAUAUUAUAUUGUAAAACAUGCAUAAUUAAUUCAUAUAAAAGUAUAAAGAAUGUAAAUGUAAAUAUAUAUUUAAAAUUUUACGUUAUGUAGUAUAUCAGUGUCAACAAUUUGUUCGCUUUAUCCAGUUCAUAGAUCUCUGAUGGUUUAUGUCAGUUUUUAUAUGGUUUAAGGUUUUUGUAUUUGAUUGAAACAUAAUCCAACUACAUGUCGCGAUUCAACCAACCCGAUCCGUCCAAUCUUUAAAACAUUGGGUUUCUGUUUCUCGAUUUCAUUUAUUUGUUUGUGUUGGGAUAUCAAUUCAUUGACACUUUAGGUAGACAUGAUGUUCGAAUAUCCGUUAGGCAGUUUUUUGUGUGUGUUUGUGUUCAGCUUCUUAGAUCCCAUAUAGAGUUUUAUAUAUGUUUGAAUCAGGUUCAGUUAAUAAAAUCUCGAGUACAUAUAUUUCAUAAUUCUGUCUAAGAUCCAUUUUGGAUUCGGGUGUUUUUAGAUAUUAUAUCAAAAAAACAUCAUGAUAUUGAAUAUUAAAUUAUUUAUUUAGAUUUCGAAUACUAUUUCGGGUACUAAUUUGAAUAUUCAUGUUUUAUAUUUUGAUUUUUGGGUUUCCGCUUAGAUUUAGGUUGGAUUUGGAUAAUACGCGUAACCAUAAAUACUGCCCUACAUAAUUCAUACCGGCCUGACCUCGAGUUCAGAUACAAAUGUUCAAGCCUCUCUUCAUGAAAUUCCCAAACAAGCUCUUCCAUAUCCCAGUCGAGAGUGUCUUCAAAUUGAUUCGCAGAAUCAGCAGGUCCUUGAGCAGCAGUUAGAUUUUGGUGCUCUUGGGCAACCAUUGAGUUUAGGGGAAGGUGGAGAGCACUUUGUGCUACAAGAAAACUGUAACGCUCAACAAAAUUGAAUCAAACCGAAACUAAUUAUUAAAUGUUCAUGAAACAAUAAUUCAUUUUUCAUAUUAUAAAUAAUCUAUAAGACGAGAAUCAAUACAAUACUAAAAGUUGAAUAAGAUCAACAUCUAGACUAUCCACGUAGGCAAAUUAAAUCGACCUAUCAGAGUAUUGAAUUAGGCCACAUCACCCAAAUCAACCUAAACGACAUAUUUGCUUCAUCUUCUGCAAAAUCACCUAAGCUUCACCGCCGUUACUUGCCUUCUCUUCUAGACCAGUUCCCUCCUUCCGAUCAUUCUCUCUACCCUCCCCAUCCGCCUCAUUUUCCCACUUGUGUUCUUCCUGCUGGUGUGGCAUUCCAUUCGUCUGGGUUUGUUUCCAGCGACCCUGUGAGUUUCCCACGGAGCUACCCCAUUGUCUUGACGGGUAUGUGAUUUUUGCAUUCUUCAAUGGAGAAGUCGUUAUGCAUGUUCAAUUUAAGUUGUUUGAUUUAAGUUUGUUUGAUUUGUAUACGCUUGCUUUAUCUGUUUCUGGUUAUCUUCAAUCCACAGAGGGUGAUGGAGCGAAAAUAUUUGUUAGAUUGCGUUUCGGGACCGAGUCUGCGAGGAUGUUACUGAAGCUUAUCGUUUACCACCCAAUACAUACGCAGACAAGUGUAUCUGUAUCGUCUCUCACGCCCCCAAUUUCCGAGCUCUUUGGGAUUCUCUCGAGUUGGAUUGUAACUUAUAGAUUGCUAAGCUGGUGAAUGAGGGGGAGGUAACUAAGGCUGAGACAAUGACUAUUGGUGAAAUCUUCGAUUACAUCAAGAAAGGAUCCGCCAAGGUAGAACUUGAGCUGUAGAUAUGCCACUCAAAUCAACAUGCUUAACUACGUAUAUCACCCGGUCGUUGACGAACGCAGGAGGUGUUUUCUUUUGUCUAUAACUGUUACCAAAGUUGUCUCUUUCUACCCACCUCUGACAGUCCCACAGGUGAAACCACAUUUGCUGCAACUGCUGAAUUGCCCCUGCUCUCUGGAAAUGUUUUGUCUGCAUCUUCCAAAGGAUGUGGAGACCUUGCUGAUGAGAGAAUGGUGGCUCAAAUAACAGUGGCGAAGCACAGGAAGCCAAAUGUGCUACCCAUGUCAAAUAGGUCUUUCCAGUUCUUAAGUUUUGUUCUGUUAUUUCUCUCACGCACCCUUUGACCUAACAAAGAAGAAGGUGAUGAAUGUCAUUCUGGAUCCUAUCGAGGACUCAACAGAGUCACAAGCGGAGAAAACUUAUUCAUUGCUUGCUUUUGAUGGCCUUCAGAGUUCAUUUGCUGGACAGAAAUCAUCGGUGGGUUUAAUCAACCUGACAUUUAUCGGUGAUGAAUCAUGGCCUCAUUUGCAACAAUAUUAGAACAUCAUUAGAAAAUGUGAAAAUGGAGUUUGCUUUCAACAUUUGUAACAGUUCUAUUUUGAUUUAUCAACAAGCUAUUAAGAUUA